rnacentral:lncRNA from 1 species
CUGUCUGUUGUUUUUGUACUUGAAGUUGUUCUUGCAUCCGAAGUUCUAGAUUUUGAUGUUGUUCUUACAUUUGGAGUUACAGAUUCAUUUGAUGUUUCAGCUGACGUUUCAGAUUCAACUGACGUUUCUUCUGAACUUCCAGAUUCUAUUGAUGGGCUUUCAUUUGAUGACCAAGAUUCUGCUGAUGUUCUUCCCUUUGAUGGUCUAGAAUCUGCGGUUGUCCUUCCCUUUGAAGUUACAGAAACUGCUGUUGUUUUUCCUUUUGAAGUUCUCGAUUUUGAUGUUGUUCUUUCUUUUGUAGUUACAGAUUCAUUUGAUGUCUCAGAGGAAGUUUCAGAUUCAAAUGAUGUUUCUUUUGAACUUCCAGAUUCUGCUGUUGGGCUUUCAUUUGAUGACCAAGACUUUGCUGAUGUUCUUCCCUUUGAUGGUCUAGAAUCUGUGGUUGUUCUUCCCUUUGAAGUUACAGAAACUGUUGUUGUUUUUCCUUUUGAAGUUCUCAAUGUUGACGUUGUUUCUUUUGUAGUUACAGAUUCAUUUGAUGUUUCAGCUGAAGUUUCAGAUUCAAGUGAUUCAACAGAUUCUGCUGUUUGGCUUUCAUUUGAUGACCAAGAUUCUGUGGCUGUUCUUCCCUUUGAUGUUCUAGAAUCUGCUGUUGCUCUUCCCUUUGAAGUUUCAGAAUCUGUUGUUGUUCUUUCUUUUGUAGUUACAUCUUCUGUUGAUGUUUCAGAUGCAGUUCCAGAAUCAGCUGUGUUUCCUUUUGAAGUUUUAGAUUCUUUUGUUGUUCUUUCUUUUGUAGUUAAAGGUUUUGUUGUUGUUUCAGAUGAAGCUCCAGAAUCAACUGUUGUUCGGCCCUUUGAAGUUGGAGAAUUUGCUGUUGUUCUGCCCUUUGAAGUUGCGAAAUCUGUUGUUCUUUCAUUUGAUGUCCUAGGUAUUAAUGUUGUUUUACCUUUUGAAGUUACCAUUUCGUUUGAUGUUUCAGAUGAAGCUUCAGAUUCAAGUGACGUUGUAUCUUCUGAAAUUCCAGAUUCUGCUGUUGUGCUUUCAGCUGAUGACCCAGAUUUUGAUGUUCUUCCCUUUGAAGUUACAGAAACUGCUGUUGUUUUUCCUUUUGAAGUUCUCAAUUUUGAUGUUGUUCGUUCUUUUGUAGUUACAGAUUCAUUUGAUGUGUCAGAGGAAGUUUCAGAUUCAACUGAUGUUUCUUUUGAACUACCAGAUUCUGCUGUUGGGCUUUCAUUUGAUGACCAAGACUUUGCUGAUGUUCUUCCCUUUGAUGUUCUAGAAUCUGCUGUUGUUUGUCCCUUUGAAGUUUCAGAAUCUGUUGUUGUUCUUUCUUUUGAAGUAACAGUUUUUUUUGUUGUUCCAGAUGAAGCUCCAGAAUCAGCUGUUGUUUGA